rnacentral:lncRNA from 1 species
ACUAGCCCCGUGUUUCUGAUUCAGUAUCACUGAAAUACUUUGGAACCAUAUAAAGGGCAAAGUACAUUCCACAUGUUGAAGGACAGUGCCUGGCCCUGUGGGGUGUCAUCCCCAUGCUGUAGGCAUAGUGGCAACCCAGGGGUUCAUCUCAACUCCCAUCACAGAGUUCAAACAUUGAAUUAGUUGUGCAAUGGAAGGAGUAUUACCAGGACCCAGAUGCAGCCC